rnacentral:rRNA from 1 species
GACGACCGCUGGCGGCGUGCCUAAUACAUGCAAGUAGAACGAGUUGCGAACGGGUGAGUAACACGUGGUAACCUGCCUCAUAGCGGGGGAUAACUAUUGGAAACGAUAGCUAAUACCGCAUACUUUUGGAUGGACUUGCGUGGUAUUAGCUAGUUGGUGAGGUAACGGCUCACCUAGGCGACGAUCCCUAGCUGGUCUGCGAGGAUGACCAGCCACACUGGAACUGAGACACGGUCCAGACUCCUACGGGAGGCAGCAGUGGGGAAUAUUGCACAAUGGGCGAAAGCCUGAUGCAGCCAUGCCGCGUGUGGGAGGAAGGGCUGCGGAUAGUAAAGAACGUUCAUCAGGGAGGCGUUACUCGCUGAGAAAGCACCUGCUAACUCCGUGCCAGCCGCCGCGGUAAUAC